AUUGAACGCUGGCGGCAGGCCUAACACAUGCAAGUCGAACGGAGCGGCGGACGGGUAAGUAAUGCCUAUGAAUCUGCCUGGUAGUGAGGGAUAACGUCCGGAAACGGGCACUAAUACCGCAUACGAUCAGAUGACCCUAGGUGGUAUUAGCUAGUGGGUGGGGUAAAGGCCUACCACGGCGACGAGCCGUAACUGGUCUGAGAGGAUGAUCAGUCACAAUGGAACUGAGACACGGUCCAGACUCCUACGGGAGGCAGCAGUGGGGAAUAUUGGACAAUGGGCGAAAGCCUGAUCCAGCCAGGCCGAGUGUGUGAAGAAGGUCUUCGGUUUGUAAAGCACUUUAAGUUGGGAGGCGUUACCAACAGAAUAAGCACCGGCUAACUUCGUGCCAGCAGCCGCGGUAAUAC
rnacentral:rRNA from 1 species